CGGGACUGGGCCUCGUUGACGGUGAUGUUGCGGCCGUCCAGCUCCUUGCCGUUCAUGCCCUCGAUGGCGUUCCGCAUCGCCUCCUCCGUGGAGAAGGUGACGAAGCCGAAGCCGCGGGACCUCUGCGUCUCCCGAUCGAGGAUGAUCUGCAGGGGAGAGGGGAAGGAGGGACAGAUCCGGGUGAGGGUGUGUCAGGACAGGUCAGAUCUGGACGAAGCCAUGGACGGAUCUGGGACGGGAACGGACCUUGGACUCGAGGACCUCGCCGUAGGUGCUGAAGGCGUUGUGGAGGGAGUGGUCGUCCGUGGCCCAGGCGAGGCCGCCGACGAAGCAGCGGUACUCAACAUCCGACGCCGCCAUCUCGAUCCGCUCACCCACGAACCCGAACCCCGGAGAACCUCACGAACCCGAACCCGAACCGGAGGGGGAGGAGAAGCCAACCCACCU
rnacentral:lncRNA from 1 species